rnacentral:rRNA from 1 species
GGAUUAGAUACCCUGGUAGUCCACGCCGUAAACGAUGAGAACUAGGCGUUGGGAUUUAUCUCAGUGCCGUAGCUAACGCAUUAAGUUCUCCGCCUGGGGAGUACGACCGCAAGGUUGAAACUUAAAGGAAUUGACGGGGGCCCGCACAAGCGGUGGAGCAUGUGGUUUAAUUCGAUGCAACGCGAAAAACCUUACCUACCCUUGACAUACUCGGAAUCCUCUAGCAAUAGAGGAGUGCCUUCGGGAGCCGAGAUACAGGUGUUGCAUGGCUGUCGUCAGCUCGUGCCG